GAAAAUGAUAUUGUAAAAAUAGAAAGUGUUAUGAGAAACAUUUACGAAUCUGAAGUCAAGUAAAACAAAAAAAAAUUGUUUUAUUUAGGAUAAUGGUCUCCGGUUAUACUGAUCUACCACACAGGUUUUGAUGUGAGAGAAGGCUGGCGAUAUGGGUAGAAGCAUAGCACGUCGGACCAAGUACGAAUAAGGAUCGAACAAAAAAUAAAUAAAUGAAGAAAGAAAGAAAGAAAGAAAGAGAGCAAGAGAGGAAGAAAGAAAGGGUUCUAGCUGUAAAUUAAAGAAUAAAUUUCAAUCAACUAUUCUCCUUCCUCAAGAAACGUUAGUCUUAGCUAAUGUUAAAAAUGAUUAUUAUGGUAUGGCGCAUUGCAGAAGCGGAAGAACGCUGGACAAAAUGUUUUGCAAUAUUUAUAGGGUUACUUAACGGUUUACCUUUUAAUCUUGUCGUAGCUGACAUUGCGUUUCAGUUUUCCAGCACCGAAUAAGUAAAUGUCUAGUAAGUCUUGAACAAAUUUAUACGACAGUUCUCUUCUCACCAAAUUUAUGUUCCAAUCCAAGUAGCUAUGCCUGUGCUGCGCCGAUGUCAAAUGUCAGGCUCGACUAUAUAAAACGGAAUGGAAACCAC